rnacentral:rRNA from 1 species
AGCGAACGCUGGCGGCAGGCCUAACACAUGCAAGUCGAACGGAUCCUUCGGGAUUAGUGGCGGACGGGUGAGUAACACGUGGGAACGUGCCCUUUGGUUCGGAACAACUCAGGGAAACUUGAGCUAAUACCGGAUGAGCCCUUCGGGGGAAAGAUUUAUCGCCAUUGGAGCGGCCCGCGUCUGAUUAGCUAGUUGGUGAGGUAAAGGCUCACCAAGGCGACGAUCAGUAGCUGGUCUGAGAGGAUGAUCAGCCACAUUGGGACUGAGACACGGCCCAAACUCCUACGGGAGGCAGCAGUGGGGAAUUUUGCGCAAUGGGCGAAAGCCUGACGCAGCCAUGCCGCGUGAAUGAUGAAGGUCUUAGGAUUGUAAAAUUCUUUCACCGGGGACGAUAAUGACGGUACCCGGAGAAGAAGCCCCGGCUAACUUCGUGCCAGCAGCCGCCGUAACAC